GCGGAGCGGAGGGCGGCCGCGAGCCCAGCUGAGGGCCGGGCGAGGCGAGUCCUCCGGGGCGGCACCGAAGCCGCGGGUCUUCGGGGCGGGGCCGAGGCCGCCGGUUCAGGUGUCGCGGCGGCUCCACGUCGCCCUAGCGGCCCGCGGGGCUGGAGCGCGCGGAGCCCGGGGCGCGCCCGGCGUGAGAGCCCGGACGGGCCGCAGCGUCCGAGCGCCGGCCCUUGGGGCUGGGCGGCCAUGGCGGGCCCGGGCCCCGGGGACCCCGACGAGCAGUACGACUUCCUGUUCAAGCUGGUCCUGGUGGGCGACGCGAGCGUGGGCAAGACGUGCGUGGUGCAGCGCUUCAAGACGGGCGCCUUCGCCGAGCGCCAGGGCAGCACCAUCGGCGUGGACUUCACCAUGAAGACGCUGGAGAUCCAGGGCAAGAGGGUCAAGGUGGGCGCCCCCCGGGGGUCCCAGAGCCGCCCCGGGGAGGGCUCGGGUGGGCGCCGCCGCCUGGGGUGCGGUGGGGGGGAGGAACCCGGCGCCCGAGCGACUUUGGCGGGUGGCAGGCGACAGCCGGGCGACACCCCGCUCUGCAGCUGGCACCGAUCGGGCACCCCACGGGGGCGUGGGGACAGACCCCCUCUCCACCGCCCGAGGAGCUCCCCCUCCCCCCCAUCUGCUGGGCGGCCCGGCCCGAUCUGCGACACCCCGCGGGUCCCCCUCUGCACGGGGGGCGACCAGGAAGUCGUGGCUCCGGGGACCCGGAGGCCAAAAGUUGUCUUUGUUAUUGUUUUUGGUUUUUUGGGUCCUGGCCACGCCCCCUCCGCAGCCUCUUUGUGGACCCGGAGGUGGCGGUGGAACUUUCCUGGGUCGGGCGGGGCCAGCGCCGGGUCCCCUCCCCCCCACCCCCACCCCCAUCCCCAUCCCCCGCGGGAAGGCGACAGAAACCGAGAAGUGCACACAGAUACCGGAAGGUGGGGGAGAGGACCCGGGCUCUGGCAGUGGCCCCAAGACCAACCGGCAGGAUGUGGCUGCCCCAAUGUCCUGGCCAGGGGGGGGGGACUGAUAAAGGAUAGGGAGGAGGGAGAUCCCAGUGUCCUCGCCUCAGUGUCCGCGUCCCCAAUGGAGCCGAGAUCAGGACGGUAUCCUGCUCAGAAAGGGCGCUCCAACUGCCCCGAGUGAUCGGUGCCCGAGCGAUGUCCCCGGCCUUGUCUGAAAAUCUCAAGUUCAUGGGACAACUCCCAACCCCAGGGCAGGGGCUGUGUCCCCUCCUCCCUUUCUUUUCUAGAUCCCUGGGAUGGAACCCAGGGGGUCCUCAAGACUUAGCCCCCGUCCCCAGCCCUAUUUCUAUUCUAUUUAGAGACAGGGUCUCGCUGAGUGGCUCAGGGCCUUCCUAAGUGGCUGAGGCUGGCCUCCACCUUGCGAUCCUCCUGCCUCAGCCUCCCGAGUCUCAAGGAUGACCGGCGUGUGUGCCACCACGCCCAGCUGUGUUUUCAAGAAGUGGAUGAGAGUCCCCAGAGCCCUGUUUCUCGGCGACUCUGCCCCCCUGGGUGCUCUAGGCCUGCUCCGUGUUGUCCUUGGCCAGGAUACUAAAGCACUACGUCUCUGUUUCUGUUAAAAUUGGGAUAAUUUCUGGGUGUUGCCUUGGAGAAAAAGUUAAGCCAACCGGGUCUGUGUGACCUCAGCUCCUCUGGAGUCUGGAGAGGGCAAGGUGCGAAGGGCUGCCUGGGGGUGGAGUGUGCCCCUGGGGCUGAGUCUGCACCGGGUGAUGAUGGCAGCAGCCAGACUGAGUCACCAGGAACAUCCAAUCAACAAAGAGCAGCUAGUGCUUGUGGUCGACUUGUGUGUUUCGUUUUAUGUGGUCACAGAGAUUGAACCUAGGGGUGCUUAACCCCUGAGCCCCAUCCCCAGCCCUUUUUCUAUUUUAUUUAGUGACAGGGUCUCUCUGAGUUGCUUUACAGCCUUGCUAAAUUGCUGAGGCUGGCCUCCAACUUGCGAUCCUCCUGCCUCAGCCUCCCAAGCAGUUAGAGGUAUAUUCAGCUCCUGGAGAGCAGUAUUAUUAUUAUUAUUUUGCAUUUCCAUUGUUGUUAUUGUUGCUUUUUUUCCCCUUGGAACCCUUCUGCAUGCUAAGCACUCUCUGCCACUCAGCUAAGUCCCCAACCAUCUCCCAAAGGACAAAGUUGCCUUUGGGCACUGAGCUAGGAACUGAUUGUGGGACUUCAAAACAGUUUGAUCUUCCCCCCAGGGCAGGGCUGCUUCUCAGAGUCUGGUUGUUUGGACUGGGAAAGCCUUUGGCAAUGACUUACCUUUUUUUUUUUUUUGUGGUCAGAGAAAUCUGAAGCCCAGCCCAGCCCCCUGUGGAGUGUGCAGAUUAAAACUGAGCCAUUGAAUUUAAGGGAACCCUGUCCUUGAGGUCUAGGAGACCUGGGGUCUGCUGACUCAACAGGAGGAAGUCAUUUUUCUUCUCCCCAGUGUGUUUCCUAAUCCAGAAAGGACUUCUGAGGUGUCCUGUAGCAAUGAGAUUUUAUUUUUUUUAAUUUUUUAAAUUUUUGGUCCUGGGGAUUGAAUCCAGGGGUGUAUAAUCACUGAGCCACAUCCCCAGCUCCCCUCUUUUUUUUGUAUUUUAUUUAGAGACAGAGUCUCACUGAGUUGCUAAGGUCCUCACAAAGUUGCUGAGGCUGGCCUCCAACUUGCCAUCCUCCUGCCUCAGCCUCCUGAGUCACUGGGAUUACAGUGCCCACUGCGCAUGGCUGUGAUUUUUUUUUUUAACUCCAUUUAUUAAUAUUUAAGGGCUGGGGAUGUAGGUCAGUUGGAAGAGUGCUUGCCUGGCAUGCACAAGGCCCUGAGUUCAAUCCCCAGCACCACAAAAAAUAAAAAUAAAAGAAAAACAUGUAAUAUACAGGGGCUGGGGGUGUGGCUCAGUGGCAGAGUGCUUGCCUAGCACAUGUGAGACCCUGGGUUUGAUCCUCAGCACCACAUAACAAUGAAAUAAAUAAAAUAAAGGUAUUGUGUCCAUCUACAACUAAAAAAAAAUUUUUAAAGGCUAUUUGGGUUUAAAAAAAAAACAUUUAAUUUACACACAGUAGACCAGGGAUUGAACCCAGGGGCACUUACUGACUGAGCCCCAUCCCCAGCCCUUUUUUAUAUUUUAUUUAGAGACAGGGUCUCGCUGAGUUGCUUAGGGCCUCUCGAGUUUCUGAGGCUGGCCUCCAACUUGUGAUCCUCCUGCCUCAGCCUCCCAAACUGCUGGGAUGACAGCUGUGGGCCACCGCAUUCUGCUGAUGCUGGGUUUUGUUCGAGUUUGAGGACUCUUACGUCAGCUGCUGGUGUUCCAGCUCUUUGAGGCUUGAAAGUCAGAGGUAAAGGCCAACAGGGCCAAGGUUCAAAGGGCUUAUUUUUGCAGUCCUGGGGAUUGGACACAGAAGUGAUCUACUACCUAGCUACAUCUCUAGCUGCUCCCAUUUUUUUUUUUCUGAUUUUUUUUUAGGAGGGGGGGAGAUGCUGAGAAUUUAUUUAACCCUGUACCCAACACUUUUUUUUUUUUGAAGUACCAGGAAUUGAACCCAGGGGUGCUCAACCCCUGAGCCACAUCCCCAGCCCUUUUUAGAUUUUACUUUGAGACAGGGUUGCUUAGGCUCUGCUAAGUUGCUGAGGCUGGCCUCCAACUUGGGAUCCUCCUGCCUCAGCCUUCCAAGCAGUUAGAGGUAUAUUCUGCUCCUGGAGGGCAUUAUUAUUAUUAUUAUUCCUUCAAGUCACAGGGCUGCAGGUGGUCAGAGACAGACAUUCCGUCCUUGACUGUUUAUCUGUUCAUAUUUAUUAGAGAGCCGCUGAGAUAAGGAGUGACUGGCUAACCCGUGGUCUCCUGCAUGUCAAAAAGGCCAAACCAGGAUUUGAACUCAGGGUGGGCCUGGUUCCUAAGCCCCGGGCUCAUUUUUUGUGCUUGAUUACUCUUCUGAUUCCGCAGAGGGUUUUUUUGUUUGUUGUUUGCUUGGGUACUGGAGGUUGGACCUGCGGGUGCUUUACUACCAAGCUACGUGCCCAGCGCCCCCACUUUUUUUUUGUGGUGCUGGACAUUGAACCCAAGGCCUUGUGCAUGCCAGCCAACUGAGCUCUACCAACUGAGCUACAUCCCUGUCCACAUGCCCAGCCCUUUAAAAAAAUGUUCUUUUUGAUUUUGAAACAGGCUCUCACUAAGCUGCUGAGGCUGGCCUCCAACUUUCGAUCCUCCUGCCUCAGCCUCCAGAGUCCUUGGGAUUACAGGUGUGAGCCACUACACCCAACUCCCUCUGAGUUUGUGCAGAUGAUCCUGAUAUAUAUAUAAAAUUUUUAUUUUGGUACCAGGGAUUGAACCCAAAGGUGCUUAAUCACUGAGCCACAUCCCCAGCCCCUUUUUAUUUAUUUUGAGACAGGGUCUCACUAAAUUGCUGAGGCUGGCCUCCAACUUGCGAUCCUCCUGCCUCAGCCUCCCAGAUCGGCUGGGAUUACAAGUGUGCCACCCCCACCCAUCUUAAGAUUCCUGAAAGUUCAAUGAAUCCAGUAAAAAUGCAGUUGUGGCCAUUGCAUUUACUGAGAGAAGUAAACUUGGGGCUUUUUUUUUUUUCUUUUCUGAAAUCAAGUUUUUCAUAGUAAGGAUUGACUCAAAGAAUCAGGAUUUUGAUCAAUUAACUAGAACAUUUAGAUUGCCACAGGCAGCUCACAUGGGCUGCCCGCUAGAUUCUGUGUCAUUUCUUGUACCCUCAUGGAUGCCUUUGGCUCUUGCUCCCAGGACUUAAAAAGUGAGUCAGAGAACUGGGCGCCUGCCUGAAAUUACAGUAGUUCUGGAGGCUGAGGCAGGAGGAUAGCAAGUUGGAGGCCAGCCUCAGCAACUUAGGGAGACCCUAAACAAUUUGGUGAGACCCUGUCUCUAAAUAAAAUACAGAAUAGGGCUGGGGAUGGGGCUUAUAGAUCAAGUGCCCCCCCUGGGUUCAAUACCCAGUACCCCCCAAAAAAGAAAGCACAUUGGUCUCAGCCCAGGUCACUUGGUUGUGAGGCCCUGGGUUAAAGAGUUUCUCCUUGAUUUGUUUUUGAAGAUAAAAUCCACUUGCAUGGUUCAAAUUCCAAAACUUAAAAGGUAUACAGAAAAGCUAGGUGUGGGGCUGAGUGUCUGGUAUCCCAGUCACCUGGGAGGCUGAGGCCGGAGGAUCGCGAGGUUGAGGCCAGCCUCAGCAAUUUCCCGAGAACCUGUCUCAAAAUAAAUAAAAAGGGGCUGGGGAUGUGUCUCUAUGGUUCAAAUAAAAUGAUAAACAGGAAAGAUGUCCCUUUUACCUUUGUCUUCUAAACAGUGUCCUCUAAAAAGAAGAAUUUCUAGUGUAUUCCAAAAAUGCUAUUGUAAAUAAAACCCCAAAGUGCAUCAUGCACACUAAUAUCCGCUUGCUAUUGUUACCGUGUCCUCCCUGGUGACACAGAGGACAGGUCUGGGUUUGCCCUUCCCUUCCCACCUGCACCCCCCCACCCCCCCCAAGGAAAUCUCAGCUGGUUCUAAAUCCUUACAAGGUCUUGGUGGCUCUUGAGUCCCUGUUAUCUGGGGCGACACAAAGGCCUGUUAUGUAAACUGGGUUUUGCAGAUCACUAGACUCGGCCUCCCGAGCAGAGCUGAGGCUGGCCUUGUUCAAGUGUCUCCCCUUGAUUCAAUUCUCACUGGGGACAGGCCACAUCUCUUCUCCCACCCAGGUAGAGUGUGUGCCCUUGGGCCUGGGCCUUGGAUUUCAGGACCUUUGGUUUACAGUCUCAAGUGGCCCUCGUCCCCACCUGUCAUUUUGAAUUUUCUGGCUUUCAGAAGAAAGGGCAGUUAGCUGGGUGUGGGGCAUGUGGGGGCGCACAUGCCUGUCAUCCCAAAUCUCAGCUCUGGAGGCUGAGGCAGGAGGAUCGCAAGGUGGAGGCCAGCCUCGACCACUUAAGUGAGGCCCUGAGCCACUCAGCGAGACCCUGUCUCUAAAUAAAAUAGAAAAAGGGCUGGGGACGGGGCUCAGGGCUUGAGGACCCCCUGGGUUCAAUCCCUGGGACCAAAAAAAUUUAAUUAAUAUUAAUUUUAAGAAAAUUUUAUUGCUAUGAUCCACAGACCAUAAAUCGCUCCACCCAGUGUAUAAUUCCGUGAUUUGUCCUUGUUUGUUACUAUGGUCACAGAAUUGUCCAAACGUCACCACAGCCCAUUUUAGGGUAUUUCCAUCAUCCCAAAAGAACUGGACUGUCACUCCCAGAUGCCACUCCUCCGGCCCCCUGGCAACCAACUGAUCUAUUUUCUGUCGCUAUAGAUUGGCUCGCUCUGGACUUCCCAACAGGGUGGGGACUCCGUGGCUUUUCUUGGAGCAUAAUUUUUUCAGGGUCCAAGUUAAUUUUUGUGUUCUUAUUUCUCUUCCCCCCACUUUGCCCUGCCCCCAGUGAUUAGCACUUAUCUGGAUCAUUAUAUAUAUAUAUAUGUGUGUGUGUGUGUAUAUUUUAUUUUUUAAAUUUUUAUUUUAUUUAUAUUUUUUUGGUCCCAGGGAUUGAACCCAGGGGUGCUUAACCACUGAGCCCCGUCCCCAGCCCUUUUUAUAUUUUAUUUAGAGACAGGGUCUCCCUGAGUUGCUCAGGGCCUUGCUAAGUGGCUGAGGCUGGCCUCCACCUUGCGAUCCUCCUGCCUCAGCCUCCCAAGUCGCUGGGAUGACAGGUGUACAGCACCGCGCUCAGUUUCAUUUCUUUUUAUUUUCAAAGAUUCCUCUUUGCUUUUUGGAAUUUGUUUCUUGGAGUAAAAAGAUCCAUAGCCUUGGGGUCAGGGAGACCCUAGAUUCCAUCCCAGUGAGGUGGGGGGUAAGGAAGGUCCUUGAAGUGAUCUUUUUUUCCUCUCCAGAGCCUCAAGCAAGUUGAAAUGGAAUUAAAAGGGAAGAGAACUCAGGAACCAGGGGUGCUGCCCUGGAAUCCCAGUGGCUGGGGAGGCUGAGGCAGGAGGAUGGCAAUUUGGAGGCCAGCCUCAGCAACUCAGCAAGAUCCUGUCUCUAAAUAAAAUAUGACAAGGGCUGGGGAGGUGGCUCAGGGGUUAAGCAGCCCUGGAUUCAAUCCCCAGCACCAAAAAAAAAGGUAAAUCCGAGGCAGACCCUGUUCUUCGGGGCUCACCUGUGGAUGGGGAGACAGAUGUGUAAACAGGCGCCGAUCAUGUGAUACUGUUAGUGCCGUUGCCGUGGUGACUGGUAUUUCCAAGCCAAGCAUCAGACCACGUGCCUGACAAGUUCACUUAGGUUUAUUGUGGUGACGGCAGGACCGAGUGUUGACAAUGUGGCCUGUCCCUGCAAAGCCAGGCCCUGGGUUGCCAGGAUUGUAGUGGAGAUGUGCUACAGGACCCUAGGGGACCCGGCAGUCAGCACUGCCCAGAGCUACAGGAAUGUGUGGGCUUGGUGAGGCCCUGAGGGUGGGUGAGUUGCUGUGCAGAGGAGGCCAGGGCUUUGGGGGGGGGAGGAACCUGUAGUCACUGCAGCUCAGGAGGCUGAGGCAGGAGGAUCACAAGGUGGAGGCCAGCCUCAGCCACUUAGCGAGGCCCUGAGCAACUCAGCGAGACCCCGUCUCUAAAUAAAAUGCAAAAUAGGGUUGGGAUAGGGCUCAGUGGUUAGCUCCCCUGGGUUCAAUCCCCAGGACCAAGAAAAAAAAAACUGGGAGGAGCUUGCCACCUCCUAUUGUUCACUUGGUACCCUCCUGCCCCAGUGGACAGGAACUGGGCUGAGUUUCCUUGGAGGGCUCCUGAUCCCCAAGUGUUUCCCCCUGGUGUCCAGAGACCUGUCCGUGUGGUGUUCGGUUGGCAGCAGGAAGAAGCCCUGGUGGAAGCUCUUUGGUAGGUGGCCAAUGUUAUCUUCCUGGGAAUGAAGACGAGAGUGCUGGAAGCUGGCAGCCUUUGUGAGCAACUGAGGCAGGAUCUGUGGGCCACGUACUGAGGUCCUUUGUCACAUCAUGACUGGCCGCACUGAGGCCCCCUGUGCCUGGCCGCCUCUUACUACUGUGUCUGCCUGCCUGGCUGCCCAUGUGCUGGUGUCAUCAGCAAGUCCCUAGAGACCUGGUGUCUUAUCAUUGUUUUGUCCCUUAGUCUGUGGCUGGUGCUGACCUGCGCCUCAGCUCUGGAGAACAGACGCGCAGCUGCCCAGAGGAGGGGCCCAGCACCCACCCCCGGGUUGUUCUCUCCACAUCCCAAGACGCCAUGAAAAAUAGCUCAGGAACUUGAAUUUGGGUCAUUGUGACCGUUUCAGUGUUUGUCCUGAGAACUCACUUGUCCAAGGUCCCUUUUUUGAUUUAAAGACGCAGAGAACUUUCCACUCCCUGCCUCAGAGCUCAGGAGAGAGACUUCAGAUAAAUUCCUCUCUGUUUCCUUCUGGAGGGACAGAGGGGGGCUCUGGGCUUUUUGGGGGGGUCCUGGGUAUUGAACUUGGGGCCCUGAGCCCCGUCCCCAGCCCUUUUUAUAUUUUAUUUAGAGGCAGGGUCUCCCUGAGUUGCUCAGGGCCUCGCUAAGUGGCUGAGGCUGGCCUCCACCUUGCGAUCCUCCUGCCUCGGCCUCCCCAGUGGCUGGGAUGACAGGUGUGCCCGCCUCAGCAUCUCAGCCAGACUCUGUCUCAACAUAAAAAAAUCAAAAGGGCUGGGGACGGGGCUCAGUGGUAAAGCACCCCUGGGUUCCAUCCCUGGGACCAUUAAAAAAAAAUUGGCUUCUCAUUACCUUCCCUGACCAUCCAGGGCCAAGUACGGUGGCCUUUACCUUCUUCUGAGUGUCUGUUAUCACCUUCCAGAAGUUUCCAUUUGCAUUCUUGCCCUUGCUAAAAUGGGUGCUGUUUACACCUCAUUCCCCUGCCUCAGUGCUUCUUCACUGCUGAGCCUCCUCCCCAGCCCUUUUUAAUCUUUGAGACAUUGCAGAGGCUGGCCUCAACCUUGCGAUCCUCCUGCCUCAGCCUCCCGAGUUGCAGGGAUUCCAGGUGUGUGCGCCACCGGGCCCGGGCACCUCAAAUCGAUUUAUUUUUACAUUAUACAUUAAAAACACUGGCCUCAAAAUUACAGUGGCUCCAUAAAGAUUGUAGAAUGGAUGCAUUUAUCAGGCCCCUUUUGUAUGCGAGCUCCAGCCAUUUGAUUGUGUUAGCUGUGACCCUAAUGGUCCCUUUAUUGACAGAUGAAAAACUGAAUUAGGUUGUGGCCCAGACACACAAAGCUUGUGACAGAAUGGGGUCACGAUCUCGGGCCUGUCGGGGUCCAGAGCAGCCACUGCCCAUUUUGCUCUCAUUUGCAGGGGGUGGUGAGGGUGAGAACCCCAGGUCCUGGAUUCUCCAAAUAUCUCCUCUGUCCCUGCCCAUGUCACAGCCACAGGGUGACCUAGAUUCCCUGGUCUGUAGUUAUUUGUUUGUUUAUUUGUUUUGCAUUUUUAUUUUACCUUACUUUUAGUUUUCUUUUUAAAUUAACUUGUAUUUUUAAAACUGUGCUUGUUGAUUUUCUGUUCAUGUUUAUAUAUUGUGUAAUGAUGAGAUCCAGGUCAUGGGCAUAGGGACCACGUCACACAUGUGUCAUUUCUUUGUGUUGGAAACAAUCCAAAGUCCUCUCUGGGAGUUGCUUUGAAAUAUUCAAUUGAAGCCAGGGGCAGUGGCCCACAGCCUGUAAUCUUAGCAGCUUGGGAGGCUGAGGCAGGAGGAUCGCAAGGUGGAGGCCAGCCUCAGCCACCUAGCCAGGCCUCCAGCAACUCAGCGAGACCCUGUCUCUAAAUAAAAAAUAAAAAGGGCUGGGGACCGGGCUCAGGGGUUAAGUGUCUCUGCGUUCAAUUCUGGAUACCAAAAAAUAAAAAGAGAGGAACCUCCCCAGUAGCUCAGAAUAUAUAGGCCAAAGUCCUUCCUUGAGGGUCUCCAAGAUCCAUUUUUCUGCGUAUUUCUGUGUCACUCUGUUGCUGUCCUUCUCUUUACUCUGAUCCAAACAAUUCUUUUUGCUUUCUUUGAAUGUACCAGUCACGGUCUCUGCCCCAGGGGACACAUUAGCCCAUUUUCCGUUGCUAUAACGAAGUGCCCGAGGCCAGAUACCUUAUAGAGCAAAAAGGUUCAUGUGCCUCAUGGUCUUCAGUAUUGCGAAGCGUGACAGCAGCAUCUGCUCAGCUUGACACCCCCUUGGCCACCUCAUGUCAUGCCAGAUGGCAUCACGGGAAGGUGGGGUGGGGGGAAGGCUUUUGAAGGGGAGAGAUCACACAAUGAGACAGGAGGCCCGAGCUGAGAAGUGUCCGGCUUCCUCUGACAACAGGAGUUACCUGGGUUCCCAUCUAGGGGACACCCCUGUCACUCCCCUCCAAGGGCUCCAUCACCCCCCCACCCCAGUAAGGACCAGAUGCACCUCGUGAACCCUCCACAUGCUCCAAAUGACCGCAGGGCCUUGGGACUGCCUCCUUUCCAGAAUGUUCUCUGGGCUCCCUCUCUGUCCAGUGGGUAUGUCAGGGGGGCCAUCCUGAGGUUCACUCCUCCCAGAAUGCACAGCUCCUGUCUCUCCCAGAAUGCACAGCUCCUGUCUCUGUCUCUGCUUGGUUUUUCUUAUCACUCUCCAGUGGACUUGUAUUAUUAUUAUUGUUGUUGUUAUUAUUAUUAUUUCAGCACCAAGGAUUGAACCCAGGGCUUCCAGACCAUAAGGCACGUCCCCAGCCCUUUGCCCUUUUUAUUUUUUUAUUUAGAGACAGGGUCUCACUGAGUUGCUUAGGGGCUACCUAAGUUGUGGAGGCUGGCCUCCAACUUGCAAUCCUCCUGCCUCAGCCUCCCAAGUCACUGGGCUUAUGGGCGUGCACCACUGCACAUGGCUGUUUUAAUUGUUUUGCGGUCAGGAUCAUCUUCUGUUAAGAGUGGACAUCUUACUGGAUGACCCCAUCGGGGAGCUGGUCUUGGUGAACAUGUCACGUCUACUUGAAAAAAGACGUGCCCUUGUGCAGGGUUGGAUGUUUUGUUCUAGAAAUGUCAAGACUGAGUCAAGAGUGUUGCUUAGACACUUGUCAUCCUGCUAUCCCCCCCAUUGUGAAUGAGCACCAUCAUUCACAAUCAGAGAGGACACUCAGCCUUUGGUUUUGGGGGACUGGCUUAUUUCACUCAGCGUGAUCAUCUCUAGCUCCGUCCAUGUACCAUGUACCAUCAAAUGCCGUCAUUUCAUUCUUCUUGAUGGCUGUGUAAUAUUCCACUGUGUAUAUGGACCCCAGUUUCUUUAUCCAUUCAUCUGUUGAAGGGCACCCGUCAAUUUUUCUGAAAGGGGUGUCAAAAUCUUCAACUACAUUUUUGGACUUAUUUUUCCCUUUAUUUGCAUACUUUUUUUUUUCUUUAAGAAAUUUAAAACUGUCAUUAGACUGUAUGAGAUGCGCACAGCUUGGUACCAUUGUGUCUCUGAUAAAAGACCCUUUUGUCAUUAUCUUUAGUUUGGUUGUGAGAUUCGGUCUUGCUGUGCUGCCCAAGCUGGUCUCUAGCUCCUGGGCUGAAGAGAUCCUCCUGACUCAGCCUCCCCAAUAUUAAAUGUCAUUUAUUUCUUGUAGCUCUUUAUUUGGAAUGGCUCCUUGGCCUGAAAUUAUAGUAUAUCAUUUACAUACUUUCUCAUGGAUAUUUUAUAUUUAUGUAUAAUUCAUGUCCUUUCUUCCUAUUUGUAUCCUUACAGCAUAUCUUGGUGGAUGGCAUAUAUUUAUUUGGGUCUUGUCUUUUUUAAUCUGAUAUCUGGCUUUUAACUCAAUCAUUUAGUGAAUUUAUGUUUCCUUAUUUGUUCAUUUAUUGAUCCUGGGGAUUGAACUCCUGAGCCCCGUCCCCAGCCCUUUUGAUGUGCUAUUUAGAGACAGGGUCUCACUAAGUUGCUGAGGCUGGCCUCCAACUUGCGGUCCUCCUGCCUCAGCCUCCCGAUCCUUUGGGAUGACAGCAAGCGCUGCUCUCUGGGUUUCAGGUGGCUUGUCCCUGUGGAUCUGCGGGGGGCUGGUUCUGUGGGUCCCCCUCCCUGUCCCUGUGCUCAGCAACCCCCCCAUUCAGGCACCCUUCUCCCCACAGCUGCAGAUCUGGGACACGGCCGGCCAAGAGCGCUUCCGCACCAUCACCCAGAGCUACUACCGCAGCGCCAAUGGCGCCAUCCUGGCCUACGACAUCACCAAGCGGAGCUCUUUCCUGUCUGUCCCUCACUGGAUCGAGGACGUGCGGAAGUACGCAGGCGCCAACAUCGUGCAGCUGCUGAUCGGUGAGCGCGGGGCGGGGCGGGGCCUGGGGGCCACAGACCGUCUUUGCCCCGCCCCCUUUUCUAGUUCCCGGAUUGAACCCAGGAGCCUUUACCACCGAACCACCCCUCCUUCCUUCUGUUUUUAAUUUUGAGACAGGGUCUUGCUCAGUGGCUUGGGGACUGACAUCCCAGCAGCUCGGGAGGCUGAGGCAGGAGGAUCACAAGGUGGAGGCCAGCCUCAGCAACUUAGGCCCUGAGCAACUCAGCGAGACCCUGUCUCUAAAUAAAAUAUGAAAAGGGCUGGGGAUGGGGCUCAGGGGUUAAGCACCCCUGGGACCAGAGAGAGAGAGAGAGGAGGUUUACCUUGGCUCCUAGUUCUAGAGGUCCAAGGCCAACGGGCUGUUUCUGCAGAUGGCCUUGUUGCUGGCAGAGCCCGGUCAUGGUCACGCGCAGCAGGCGACUUGCCUUAUCUCUCUGGUUUUAUGAAUCAGGAUUCCAUCUUGGGGCUCCUCCCUGAUGGCCAUAUCUACUCGCUGUGGCCACCCCUUGUGAACACUGCAAUUGGAUUGUUUCUACCCUGUGAGAACCUCACGGGUCAUAAACCGCAUCCUGAGUUGGUGUGAGGACAAACCAUGUUCAAGUCAUAGGACCCGUCAGGCCCAGUGUCCACGCCUGUAGUCCCAGUGACUCAGGAGGCUGAGGCGAGAGGAUUGCAAGUUGGAGGCCAGCCUCUACAUUUUACCAAGACCCUGUCUUAAAACGACUGAACGAGGGCCUGGGGUUAGCUCAGGUGCAGAAUUUCCCUGAAUUCCAUCCCCUGCACCAUCCAUCACCCAUCAAUCAGCUUAAAUCAGGUGGCCAGGUACAGUGGCCUCUGUUGCCUCAGGAGGCCAAGGCAGGAGGAUCACUUGAGGCUACAUGGUGAGGCCCUGUCUUUCAAAUAAGGUGUUUUGGAAUUAUCUGGAAGGUUCCAGAAUGAUCUGGACGGUUCUGGAAUGAUCUAGCAGGUUCCAGAAUGAUCUAGAAGGUUCCAGAAUGAUGUGGAAGAACCUAGGGUGCCAGCCACCUCCCUGGAGGGCAGCCACCCUUUGAGGGUUAACGAGGCCCUAAGCGACUUAGCAAACCCCACCUCACAAUAAAAAUAAAUAUAUGAAUAGGUACGGAAAGGGCCAUGUCCUAGCUUGGUGGCCCAGUGCCACCAAAAAAAGGUUAGAAUUAAAAAGGCCGUUUUAAGAAAGAUUGUUGACUGACUGACUCCACAGGACAGCUCAGGGGGAAGGGUUUACUGAGGCUCCUCGAUUUAGGGGCCGUGUCUGUGGUCCCUGACCCCAAGGCUCUGGGCCUGGGUGAGGUGGGUGACAAGGACGGCCCUGCUCAGGUGGCCUUGGGCCCGCUCACUGCCCCACGUCUCCCCCCAGGGAACAAGGCGGACCUGGCUGAGCUCCGGGAGGUGCCGCUGGCCGAGGCCCAGAGCCUGGCCCGGCACUACGACAUCCUGUGCGCCAUCGAGACCUCGGCCAAGGACUCGCGCAACGUGGAGGAGGCCUUCCUCAGGGUGGCCACGGAGCUCAUCAUGCGGCACGGUGGCCCCUUGUUCAGCGAGAAGAGCGGCGACCACAUCCAACUGGACAGCAAGGACGUGGCCGAGGGCUGGGGCUGUGGCUGCUGACCGGCCUCCGUCCCCCUCCGCCCCCCUGGCACCUUCCAGAGCUGGGGGAGCCGCGGGGGCCACCCUGUGACCCGCCACCCUGUGAUCCGGCAGGAGCAGGAGCCCAGGGCAGGUGGGAGCCCGUCCUUCACAUGCCAAGACUGGCCUGAGCCCCGCAGGGCCACCACAGUGGGAAAGGGGCCGAGGUCCAACCUGUGACCACCUUCUGCCCAGCAGAUGGCUGCCCCCCUAGCUUCUUCUAGAUCAUUCCAGAACCUUCCAGAUCAUUCUGGAACCUUCCAGAUCAUUCCGGAAAUUUCUAGAUCAUUCCGGAACCUUCCAAAUCCCUCUGGAGCCUCUGUCUGGAGCCCAGAGAGCAAGAUGACCUGGGCAGCCAACUGGACUCAUCCCUCGGGCUGCCCUUCCUCCUGCACUGCCAGCCCCAGGCCCCACACCCCGGGCCUGGCUCCUGCCUUAUCAGGACCUCGGGUUUUUCUGGUUUUCCAUGGAGCUUGUCAGGUGGCCCAAGAGUGGGGUCGUGGCCCGUGGCCAGCUGGGCACUGUGCGUUGGCUUGGGGCCCAGGGACUGGCCACUCAGGUCACACCGUAGCUGAUCCCUGAGUGCUGGCUCAGAAGUCUGGCCAGUAGGGGACGAGGCAGGGACAGGCCUCAGAGGCCAGGGAAGCUCAGGAGGCCCUGGGUCCCUCCUCAGUGCCAGGACAGACGGAGGACUCCUCAAGACGGUCGGGGGGACCUGGAGGCCCCAGCCUGUCAUCCCAGCAGCUUGGGAGGCUGAGGCAGGAGGAUCACAAGUUGGAGGCCAGCCUCAGCCACUCAGGAAGACCCUGACGCUAAAUAAAAUCUAAAAAGGGCUGGGGACGGGGCUCCGUGGUGAGGCACCCCUGGGUUCCAUCCCUGGGACCAAAAAAAAAAAAAAUUUACCCUCCACCUGUGCUGGGUGCUGGGGCUUCUUGGAAAAUAGCAUCAGGGACCCUGAGGGGUCCCAGUGACUGACUGAGGGGACCUGGGACCCAGUGUCAGCUCCUUGUGCACCGACACCCCUUCCCCCACCACAUAAAUCCGCUGCCUCUUCAGCUGAGGCCACUUCCCUGCGGUUCCUCCCAGGCUGGGCCGCCUCAGCCCCAACGUAGGGACAGCAGGAAGUGGGCGGAGCCAGAGGGGCCAGGAGCUGAAGAAGAGUCCUCAGGUCUGGGUGGACCACUGGUAUUUUCUACUCCAAAGCAGGAGGUGGGGCCCCUGUCGCCCUGGCCUGUGGUCUGCAUUGGCCCCAUUCCCAGGUUAGGGGGCCAGGUGCAGGUGUCCUGGGGCCUGGUGGCCCGGUUUCCGGCUCCAGCGCAGGGGUGGCCUGUGGUUCUAGAAGGGGGGAGGGGCUGGGCCAGGGCCACAUGGAGGGUGUCAUGGCAGAGCUCAGGUACUACCUGAGGGCAGGUAGUGCCCAUCCCUGAGGGUGUCUUUCUGCCUCAGAGGUCCCCAGAUGCAUCUGGGACCCGGUGUGCCAGGAAUAGUAUGUAGCCAAGAUGUGGUGGCCCGCCUGUCACCCCAGCUGUUCAGGAGGCUGAGGCAGGAGGAUGGCAAGGUGGAGGCCAGCCUCAGCCACUUAGGCCCUGAGCAGCUCAGCGAGGCCCUGUCUCUAAAUGAAACACGAAACAGGGCUGGGGACGGGGGCUCCGUGGUCCAGGGCCCCUGGGUUCAGUCCCUGGUGCCAAAAAAAGAAAGAAAAAAAUGCUACUAAUGACCCAGCAGGACACAUGUCACCAGGGCCCUGCCCCAGGACCCUCUGGCCAGAGCCAUUUCCCACAGCGAAGGCCCCAUGCUGCAGGCCCUUCUGGGUCCCACCAGGAGGGGCCUCGCUGUCCCUGGGGGUUGGGCCUCUGUCCAGUGGAGACCUGGGCUUGGGUACAGGAGGGUGGGGACUGUGUGACACAAAACCUGCCGUGUCCUUCCGGGCAGCCUGGUGGCCUCCCAGGGGCCCAGGGCCUGGGGGCACUUUAAUCUCUUCCUUUGUUUAUAAAGUGCCCAACCCCAGGAGCAGGUGGGGCCGGGACAGCAGGAAGGGGGCGGAGCCAGAGGGGCCCGGGCAGAAGAAGAGUCCGCGGGUCUGGGUGGACCCCUGGGAUUUUCUACUCCAAAGCAGGAGUGGAGCUGGGGACCCUCCCAGAGAUGCCAGAGAGGUUUUCUUUCUCCUUCCAGGAGGGGACCGGUCCCCAGGACCCGGCCCCUGGGUGGGGCAAGGAGAAAGCUUCCGAUUCAUAUUGAAUUCAGUUUCUCUCUCCAGCGGGACCCGCCCACCCUCAGGGCCGGGACAGGGCGGGUGGCAGGGGCCCAGGCAGACCCGGGGGUGGGUGUCAUUUGCAUUUGGGGAUUUUUUCACGUCACCUAUUUAUGAAUAUUAAAACGUCUUUAUAUCAGAUCUAUUUUUGAAAACUUGGAGAAGUGGCCUCUUUGGGACCCUCAGAGCCAGAGUGCGAAUCCUGAUCCAUUAAACCGAUUCUGAAACCCGCCAUCUGUGUCUCUCCUCUG
rnacentral:lncRNA from 1 species